AGAUCCACUUGCAGGUUGCUGUUCCCAGCCAUGGCUUCGCGCUGCUGGCGCUGGUGGGGCUGGUCGGCGAGGCCUCGGACCCGGCUGCCUCCCGCCGGGAGCACCCCAAGUAGGAGCAGGGCGCCUUUGGGGCUGGAUGGGAGCGCGGGGUGGCCUGCGAGCGCUGAGUAGGGGUCGGAGCAGAGCUGGGGCAGGGCUGGAGAAGGGUGAGACUGAAGGGGUGUCUUCCUGCUGGCGAGAUCCCGGUGGUGUACGGGGGUGGGCGGAGAUCUGUGCGUGAGAUGUGAGGCUUCUAGGGUUAGAGACGGAGGUCAACAAAGGUGAAAAGGAGAGACUUUGAGAUCCACAGGUGUGAGACGGGGUGAAUGGAGGAUGAUACGGAGGUCUAUGGGGCGAGAGGGAAGUCUGAGUCGAAACAGGGAUCUGUAGGAAUAAGACGGGUCUAUAUGGGCAAUAUAGCGUUUUGUGGAGAGAGAGAGGGGUUAGAGGAGGACACCGUGGGGAGACCCACGGGGGCGAGAUUGGGAUGAUAUGGAGGCCGUUGGAAGGAUGUGGGAUUCUAGCCGAUUGGAUAGGGAAUGAAGUGUUGUUGGGCA
rnacentral:sRNA from 1 species